GACGAACCCGUCCAAACGUUAUUCGGAAUCACUGGGCUUAAAGGGUGCGUAGGCGGCGCGGAAAGUUGGGUGUGAAAUCCCUCGGCUCAACCGAGGAAUUGCGCCCAAAACUACCGUGCUCGAGGGAGAUAGAGGUGAGCGGAACUUAGGGUGGAGCGGUGAAAUGCGUUGAUAUCCUAAGGAACAUCGGUGGCGAAAGCGGCUCACUGGAUCUCUUCUGACGCUGAGGCACGAAAGCUAGGGUAGCAAACGGGAUUAGAAACCCGUUGUACGU
rnacentral:rRNA from 1 species